rnacentral:rRNA from 1 species
UACGGAGGGAGCUAGCGUUGUUCGGAAUUACUGGGCGUAAAGCGCACGUAGGCGGCUUUGUAAGUCAGGGGUGAAAGCCUGGAGCUCAACUCCAGAACUGCCUUUGAGACUGCAUCGCUUGAAUCCAGGAGAGGUGAGUGGAAUUCCGAGUGUAGAGGUGAAAUUCGUAGAUAUUCGGAAGAACACCAGUGGCGAAGGCGGCUCACUGGACUGGUAUUGACGCUGAGGUGCGAAAGCGUGGGGAGCAAACAGG